rnacentral:lncRNA from 1 species
GUAGUUUGAAUUUAUUUAUGUGUUUUCAUAAAUGUUUUGUCCUCAUAUCUGUAGUCUGUGUGUCUUUUUAGGUUAUGAGGUUCUCAAUAAGGUAGGGGAAAAUGUGUAUUUCUGGAUUCUUCUAGUUAUAGGCUAUAACAAUAUGUCAUACCUACAUAGAAGAAAUACCAGGUUUCCAUUUCUUGUUCUAUCCCCAUCCGUCUUUGCUUCCACAGUCAGUUUUAUUUAGUUUAGAUACUAGGAAAACUUUCAACAUAAAAUAGUAAAAAUAGCACAAAUUAUAAUACUAAUAUCUUUGCUAGUAUUAGAUACAGGCAACUAUGCGAGAUCAAAAUGUGACAGUUAUACUUUCUAAACAUCAUGGU